UCUGAAGUCUGAUUGGUUGGUAAUCAUCUUCAGCCUCUGGCGACAGUGAGUGAAGGAAACUUUUGUGGCACACUGAUGUGGUGGUCUGGUGUGUGUGUGAAAAGUUGCUGCCUACCCUACGCCCCAAACUCCAGGCUCCACUGCAUCCUCACUACCAAUAUCCUUAUGACCCUCAGCCAGACAAGCCUGUAACUGGCUCGGGUUCCAAAGAUCUUCAGCGUCCUUGGUAUCCAGAUCCCUUCUACACUUAUGACCCUCAGCCAGCCAAGCCUGCUACUCAUCCGCCUAUUAACUGUCAACUUGUGAGUCUGAAAAUGGACACUGGAGGUGAAGGAAUCUGCAUAAUGCGACCAUCCAGUGACUCCCAUGCCACAAUUGAACAAUGGACCAAGUUAUUUGAGCAAAAAAAUUAAGAUAAUUGAAAGCGUUCUUUUAGUUGUCAUUAAUUAUUACUUUUGCGAAGUAUAUCACAGCAUGCUAUUGUGAUUUAGUGCUGAACUUUGUAGUUUUAUGCAUUGAAUUUUUAUGCAGCCUAGCUACAGUAUGUAGGGUAAAAAGCUACAUUCUCCGCUUAUUAAAUAUACACUGAA